CCCCAGACUCCUACGGGAGGCAGCAGUGGGGAAUAUUGCACAAUGGGGGAAACCCUGAUGCAGCGACGCCGCGUGAGUGAAGAAGUAUUUCGGUAUGUAAAGCUCUAUCAGCAGGGAAGAAAAUGACGGUACCUGACUAAGAAGCCCCGGCUAACUACGUGCCAGCAGCCGCGGUAAUACGUAGGGGGCAAGCGUUAUCCGGAUUUACUGGGUGUAAAGGGAGCGUAGACGGCAUGGCAAGUCAGAUGUGAAAGCCCGGGGCUCAACCCCGGGACUGCAUUUGAAACUGUCAGGCUGGAGUGCAGGAGAGGUAAGUGGAAUUCCUAGUGUAGCGGUGAAAUGCGUAGAUAUUAGGAGGAACGCCAGUGGCGAAGGCGGCUUACUGGACUGUAACUGACGUUGAGGCUCGAAAGCGUGGGGAGCAAACAGGAUUAGAUACCCUUGUAC
rnacentral:rRNA from 1 species